UACGUAGGGGGCAAGCGUUGUCCGGAUUCAUUGGGCGUAAAGAGCGUGUAGGCGGCCAGGUAGGUCGGUUGUGAAAACUGGAGGCUCAACCUUCAGAGGUCGACCGAAACCAUCUGGCUAGAGUCCGGGAGAGGAGAGUGGAAUUCCUGGUGUAGCGGUGAAAUGCGCAGAGUAUCAGGAGGAACACCGGUGGCGAAGGCGGUUCUCUGGGCAUUACCUGACGCUGAGGAGCGAAAGUGUGGGGAGCGAACAGG
rnacentral:rRNA from 1 species